rnacentral:lncRNA from 1 species
AAAAACCAAAAACAACAAAACCCACAUAAAUUCAAUGCUGAGUUUAAAAUUGGAAUUCAGCAAAAUGUCAUCCCAGGCACUUACUUAAAUGCACGCUUUUAUCUUUUUGUACAAUAAAUUUCUUUCCGAGUUUCAUUAGCCAUUAUACUACUCAUGGUGAUUGUGUUAGAUGUUAGAUGCUAAGAGAUGGGUGCCAACAUUUCAUUUCAGGUGGCUCCUCUUCCAAGUCAUCAUCACAGUUAAUUAGAGACAGAGGAGGGAUGGGAGCCGAAUCGACACUGGGAAGCUGA